UACGUAGGGGGCAAGCGUUGUCCGGAAUCAUUGGGCGUAAAGCGCGUGUAGGCGGUUCGGUAAGUCUGCUGUGAAAGUCCAGGGCUCAACCCUGGGAUGCCGGUGGAUACUGUCGGACUAGAGUACGGAAGAGGCGAGUGGAAUUCCCGGUGUAGCGGUGAAAUGCGCAAAUAUCGGGAGGAACACCAAUUGCGAAGGCAGCUCGCUGGGACGUUACUGACGCUGAGACGCGAAAGCGUGGGGAGCAAACAGG
rnacentral:rRNA from 1 species